GAGACACCCCUCCGGGGCAAGACUUGCUUCAAUGGGACUUUGGUGCUCAUUGAGUCUGCCCCCUGAGUGUGUCCUU
rnacentral:pre_miRNA from 1 species